AACAGAUUUGGUCCUAGUCUUUUCAUUGACUAUCUCUAUAUUGAUACAUGCAAGCCCGCAAGCAAUACUGUGAGUAAAAUUAAUAUUCUCCCGCCUUUAAGAAACAAAAUACAAGUAUCAGUUGGCCCCCACGGAACCAAAGACACUUAGACACCCACAACUGCAGUACUUAAAAUUAUACAAUAAGCGCAAGCUUGAUAUAGUAAUAGAGAAAACAUCCCGGUUAAUUAUGUGCCAGCCACCGCGGUUAUACAUAAGGUCACAGCCAACGAAACUCGGUAAAAACUGUGGUAAGAAUUAUCUCCGAUGAAAUAAAGAUUAACUCUAGCAGUAAUAAGCUAACAGAACCUAAAUUACAACAACAAAGAAUUAAUUUCACUUUUUCGCAGCCCACAAAAGCUCUAAAAUAAACUGGGAUUAGAUACCCCACUAUAGGAGCUAUAAAACACCUUUACACCCGAGAACUACGAGCGAAAGCUUAAAACUCAAAGGACUUGGCGGUUUUCUAAUUCUUCCUGGAGGAGCUUGCUAUCUAACCGAUAAUCCACGUAAUACCUUACCAACUUUUGAAUAUAACAGCCUGUAUACCAUCGUCGUCAGUUUACUUCACGAGAAAUGUAAACACAAAGAAUUAACUAAACCCUUGACGUCAGAUCGAGGUGCAGCUAAUAAGUUGGGGAUAAGUGAGCUACAAUAAUAGAAAAUAAAUUUAAAAAAUAUAUAUGAAUGACGUAUUGAAAAUUAACGUUUGAAACAGGAUUCAGCAGUAAUGAGUAAAAGAAAAUACUCAUGAAUGACCCCCUAAAGCUCUAGAAUGCGCACACAUCGCCCGUCACUCUCGUCACCAGAGGAGAAAAGUCGUAACAAAGUAGGCGUAUUGGAAAAUGUGCCUGGAAUUAA
rnacentral:ncRNA from 1 species